rnacentral:rRNA from 1 species
GUGAGGAAUAUUGCGCAAUGGAGGCAACUCUGACGCAGCCAUGCCGCGUGCAGGAAGAAGGCGCUACGCGUUGUAAACUGCUUUUAACCGGGAAGAAACCCCAGGACGUGUCCUGGGUUGACGGUACCGGAGGAAUAAGCACCGGCUAACUUCGUGCCAGCAGCCGCGGUAAUACGAAGGGUGCAAGCGUUAUCCGGAUUCAUUGGGUUUAAAGGGUGCGUAGGCGGAGCGUUAAGUCAGUGGUGAAAUCCUGCAGCUUAACUGUAGACUUGCCAUUGAUACUGGCGCUCUUGAGUGCGCUUGAAGUGGGCGGAAUGUGCCGUGUAGCGGUGAAAUGCUUAGAUAUGGCACAGAACACCAAUUGCGAAGGCAGCUCACUAAGGCGAUACUGACACUGAGGCACGAAAGCGUGGGGAUCGAACAGGAUUAGAAACCCUAGUAGUCC